rnacentral:lncRNA from 1 species
GAGAGCCGGCCCGGAGCCCCCGGCCCCGCGCCAGCCACUCGGAUCACCCGCCUCCUCCACCCGUGCUCAGUACCGAGAGCGGCCGGGAUGAGCGGGGGUCACACCGUGCGGGGCUGCAGCGCGAGGAAUGCGGCCAAGACCCCUGGGGUGGGCUCCGGGCUCCGGGUGUGGGGGGCCGUGGCUGGCGGAAAAGUGCUGCUGACAACGGAGCAUCCCGGACGGCUCGACCCCGGUGUAUCCGGGACGGCCCAGGGCGGCCCCGCCGGCUCCCCGAGCCCACCUGCCCCCGGUUCCGCAGCCGCGGCCCCCCGCGCCCCCCGCCCCGCACAGCCCGGGAUAGGUUGAAGGCUGCCGGCACCUAGUGGCUACUCGGGAAAAGCGGGAGCGGGCGAAAGCUCCGGCUGCCUCCUGGGACCUCGAUCCCGUCUGUCCCCGCAGCACCGGGCGAGGGCGGGAGCCCGGAGACGGCGGGGAGUAGCCCCUGUCCCCGCGGGACAGUCCCCGAGCACCACCCGGGGUCAGCGACCCCCGAGCUGUGCCCUGGGGCAGCGCAGUCAACAUCCGAUUUGGGGCAACUGGAGGGACCUGCCUGGUUGUGGUGAGGGGGUCGUGGGCAUCGCAGCGGGGUCUUGGGCACAGCACGGGUGUCUUGGAAAUGGCAGGCGGGCCCUGGUGUGGGGAUCACUGCAGUGGGUGGGACAAGAGGAGCAGGGCCUGUCAUGCAGGGCCUGGGCUGAGAACCCCAAAUUCAUCUCAUAGGUGAGUUCAUCUAGUGCUCAAACUGGCAUUUUGAGGCUUGAGUGACAGCACUGGUGGCAUUGCCACCAGGGAUCUCAAGACCAUCUUCUCUCUCCCAUGCAGCCGGCCCCGAGGCAGCAGAAUGGGGUCCAGCAGCCUGCUGCAGCUCCUCCGCACCCUCUGCAUCGUCUCGGCGCUGGCCAGGUGCCUGCACCCUGCUACAGCCCAGUGGUUUUCCCUGGGCUCAGAGGACACCACCCCAGAUCCAGGCACCAGCCCCAUGCCCCCCAGCCUGGAUGGGGAUGAAGACACAGACAACAGCGUGGAGCCCGUGGGGAAGGUGCUGCUGAGCAAACCUCCUCUGGCAACAGCCCCUAAACGCCGGGACCAACUCUCCAGGGGGGCAGCAAAGGGGUCAGGCCGUGCCCCGCCACGCACACGAGGCCAGGUGCUUUUU